AUGGCGAUGCUUCGUGAUGUUUGGAUGCCAAGCAGCCAAUGCUAUUUCACAGGGCCACUUUGGCCGUCUUUUGAGGCGGAAAAUUUUGAGCUAAAGCCUGGUCUUAUUGCUUUGGUUCAACAACAUCAGUUUGGAGGGUUGCCUAAUGAAGAUCCUUACGAGCACUUGCUCCGAGUCAUGGAGUAUUCAGAUACAGUAAAGUACCAAGGAGUUCCUCAAGAAGCUAUCAAGUGCAUGUUGUUCACAUUCUCUCUCCGAGAUGGUGCUCGUGCUUGGUAUCGAUCCUUGCCAUCAAGAUCAUUCGUUUGGAAUGAGAUACCACGAGCUUUCUUGGAUAAAUAUUUCCCACUACACAAGCAGUCUGCAAUUCGAGAUGAGAUCUUCAAUUUCGUUCAGCGUGAAGGCGAGAGUUUGAAUGAUGCUUGGGAGAGAUACAAAGCCUUAUUCAGGAGAUGUCCUAAUCAUGGGCUCGAGAGAUGGUUAGAGCUGCAGAUAUUCUAUAGAGGGUUGACUUCGGACACUCGAGCUUACAUCGAUAUGCCAGCGGGUGGAGCUAUUACAAACAAGACACUUGGUGAAGCUUUUCUGUUGAUUGAGAACAUAGCUUUCCACCAACUUCAGUGGUACAAUAAGAAUCCCACAUCUGAUUCAUUGGUUUGCUUGCAACAAAUCACUACACCUCAACCACCAAUUCUUAUACAAAAGCAUGAGCCUCUAUCUCAGUGUGACAAGGUUGAGCUUGCAUGGAUUAUAUUUGACGAUGAUGACACCAUUCUAGUUGACACACACGCUACAGAUCAUCUGGAUACUAGUGUUGGAGAUUCAGUUUUGCAUUGUGAUGAUUCUAACAUGGAUGAGCCAGAGCUGCAGUUCGUUGCUUUUGAUAUUGAGGAGUCACCUUUAGUUGAUAUUGAUCAUGUGCUGCUAGAGCCAGAUAUGGAGAAGUUCGCCUUUGAUGAUGUUAGCCGCAUUGAUUCUUCAACACUUGAGCCUGAGAUGGAGAGCUUCAUGGUUGAUUAUGGUGAGGUGGAUUCAGAUGUCAAGGAGUCAAGCUCUAUUUCACUUGUUGACACGAAUCCGGUGGAAAUUUCUACUACCACACCUCACUUGGUAUCUUCAAUGGAGGUAGUCCUGAAGCUUCUUCCUAACUAUGUCAGGUAUGAUCUCAGCUUUCUCGACAAGAUAUGCCAUAUCAUGGAUACUGCCUAUGCACCAUGUGACUUGUUGUUGAUACAUGUUCCUGACUUGCUCAAUAGAUAUACUUAUAUGGUAGGGUACUCUAUCGAUGACUUAGAGGGCAUUCUCUCUGUCACUUGUAUUCGCUUGGUUGUUGAGUGUUCUUUCAGGUUGAUGCUUGUGUACCAUUUAGUGCGAGUUGACCGAGUUCGAGAUGACAUUCCCUGGGAUCCUGGUGGAUUCACGGCAUGGUGA
rnacentral:rRNA from 1 species